UAAGACGAAUGCAUUAGUAAUACUGAAUUCAUACACGACGGAGAACCAGAGUUUUCAGUAGUUUUCGGUAGUUUUCGUAAAAGGUUAAUAUUUAUAACGGUGUUGUAUUAUAUAUCUACCAGAUGAAUUACUCUACCGCGUCGUUUCGAACGUAUUUUCCACUGUUCUUAUUCAGGAGCUUCCUCUGGCGAGACUGCAGAGCCCUAGCCUAGUACUGGUGAAACCCAGGAAGCAUAAUUAAGUGAAUCUUUGCAUUAAUAUAUGAGCUAACAGCAAAGAGCAGCUGCUCUUUAAGGGCAGGCAGCAGAAUUGUUGAAUGUCAACACAAGUGACAGGAGUACACAAUACCAUCAUCUGCAUCAGUAACCUCUG